GGUGGAGCUGGCUAGAUUUGCUUCUCGUCACUUACGGAACCAGAGAGAGAUGGGCACCGAGUCUGUAGCAGGUUGAGCGCGAGGGGGAGGAGAAAGCCGCAAGGGGGUGGGGGGGGGGGGGGAUCAACGUCGUUCGGUAGCGGUGAGGCGAAGAUCAAAUAAGUUUUCUUCAAUCUUGGCAGUGCUUCUCCUAUCCUCUUGACUGUGAUGCAAUGGAUAUCUACGCCAUAUCAGUGGGUUAUUUCUGGGAGGGUUUUAGAGUGAG
rnacentral:lncRNA from 1 species